rnacentral:rRNA from 1 species
AUUGAACGCUGGCGGCAGGCUUAACACAUGCAAGUCGAACGGUAACAUAAAGAAGCUUGCUUCUUUGAUGACGAGUGGCGGACGGGUGAGUAAUGCUUGGGAAUCUAGCUUAUGGAGGGGGAUAACUACGGGAAACUGUAGCUAAUACCGCGUAGAAUCGGGAGAUGAAAGUGUGGGACCUUCGGGCCACAUGCCAUAGGAUGAGCCCAAGUGGGAUUAGGUAGUUGGUGAGGUAAAGGCUCACCAAGCCGACGAUCUCUAGCUGGUCUGAGAGGAUGACCAGCCACACUGGGACUGAGACACGGCCCAGACUCCUACGGGAGGCAGCAGUGGGGAAUAUUGCGCAAUGGGGGCAACCCUGACGCAGCCAUGCCGCGUGAAUGAAGAAGGCCUUCGGGUUGUAAAGUUCUUUCGGUAGCGAGGAAGGCAUUUAGUUUAAUA